UGUGGGAGCGGGCUUGCUCGCGAAAGCGUCAAUUCAGUCAGCUAAUUUAUCGACUGAAUCACCGCCUUCGCGAGCAAGCCCGCUCCCACA
rnacentral:antisense_RNA from 1 species